rnacentral:rRNA from 1 species
GCUUAACACAUGCAAGUCGAGGGGCAGCAUGGUCUUAGCUUGCUAAGGCCGAUGGCGACCGGCGCACGGGUGAGUAACACGUAUCCAACCUGCCGUCUACUCUUGGACAGCCUUCUGAAAGGAGGAUUAAUACAAGAUGGCAUCAUGAGUCCGCAUGUUCACAUGAUUAAAGGUAUUCCGGUAGACGAUGGGGAUGCGUUCCAUUAGAUAGUAGGCGGGGUAACGGCCCACCUAGUCUUCGAUGGAUAGGGGUUCUGAGAGGAAGGUCCCCCACAUUGGAACUGAGACACGGUCCAAACUCCUACGGGAGGCAGCAGUGAGGAAUAUUGGUCAAUGGGCGAGAGCCUGAACCAGCCAAGUAGCGUGAAGGAUGACUGCCCUAUGGGUUGUAAACUUCUUUUAUAAAGGAAUAAAGUCGGGUAUGGAUACCCGUUUGCAUGUACUUUAUGAAUAAGGAUCGGCUAACUCCGUGCCAGCAGCCGCGGUAAUACGGAGGAUCCGAGCGUUAUCCGGAUUUAUUGGGUUUAAAGGGAGCGUAGAUGGAUGUUUAAGUCAGUUGUGAAAGUUUGCGGCUCAACCGUAAAAUUGCAGUUGAUACUGGAUAUCUUGAGUGCAGUUGAGGCAGGCGGAAUUCGUGGUGUAGCGGUGAAAUGCUUAGAUAUCACGAAGAACUCCGAUUGCGAAGGCAGCCUGCUAAGCUGCAACUGACAUUGAGGCUCGAAAGUGUGGGUAUCAAACAGGAUUAGAUACCCUGGUAGUCCACACGGUAAACGAUGAAUACUCGCUGUUUGCGAUAUACUGCAAGCGGCCAAGCGAAAGCGUUAAGUAUUCCACCUGGGGAGUACGCCGGCAACGGUGAAACUCAAAGGAAUUGACGGGGGCCCGCACAAGCGGAGGAACAUGUGGUUUAAUUCGAUGAUACGCGAGGAACCUUACCCGGGCUUAAAUUGCAGAUGAAUUACGGUGAAAGCCGUAAGCCGCAAGGCAUCUGUGAAGGUGCUGCAUGGUUGUCGUCAGCUCGUGCCGUGAGGUGUCGGCUUAAGUGCCAUAACGAGCGCAACCCUUGUUGUCAGUUACUAACAGGUUCCGCUGAGGACUCUGACAAGACUGCCAUCGUAAGAUGUGAGGAAGGUGGGGAUGACGUCAAAUCAGCACGGCCCUUACGUCCGGGGCUACACACGUGUUACAAUGGGGGGUACAGAGGGCCGCUACCACGCGAGUGGAUGCCAAUCCCCAAAACCUCUCUCAGUUCGGACUGGAGUCUGCAACCCGACUCCACGAAGCUGGAUUCGCUAGUAAUCGCGCAUCAGCCACGGCGCGGUGAAUACGUUCCCGGGCCUUGUACACACCGCCCGUCAAGCCAUGGGAGCCGGGGGUACCUGAAGUGCGUAACCGCGAGGAGCGCCCUAGGGUAAAACUGGUGACUGGGGCUAAAU